CGGANCUGCCCGGUGAAGUUUUUUAACGGCCGCGGUACUCUGACCGUGCAAAGGUAGCAUAAUCAUUUGCCUUAUAAUUGAAGGCUGGUAUGAAUGGUUUGACAAGAAUAUAGCUGUCUCUUUAUAAUUUGAUAGAAUUUUAUUUUUAGGUGAAAAAGCCUUAAUUUGAUUAAUAGACAAGAAGACCCUAUCGAGCUUUAGAUAAUUUAGUAGGUUAUAAAUAAAUCUUAUCUUAGUUGAAAGGGUAAACUACUAAAUACUUUGGUUGGGGCGACUGAGGAACAUAUAAAGCUUCCUUUAAGUAUAUUUAACAUACAGGUAUUGAUCCAAAAGUGUUGAUUAAAGGAAUUAGUUACCGUAGGGAUAACAGCAUUAUCUUUUUUGAGAGUUCUUAUCGAAAAAAAGGUUUGUGACCUCGAUGUUGGACCAGAAUGUCCUAAAGAUGCAGAAGUCUUUAAGGGUUGGUCUGUUCGACCAUUAAAAUUCUA
rnacentral:rRNA from 1 species